GGCUCAGGACGAACGCUGGCGGCGUGCUUAACACAUGCAAGUCGAACGGAAAGGCCCUGCUUUUGUGGGGUGCUCGAGUGGCGAACGGGUGAGUAACACGUGAGUAACCUGCCCUUGACUUUGGGAUAACUUCAGGAAACUGGGGCUAAUACCGGAUAGGAGCUCCUGCUGCAUGGUGGGGGUUGGAAAGUUUCGGCGGUUGGGGAUGGACUCGCGGCUUAUCAGCUUGUUGGUGGGGUAGUGGCUUACCAAGGCUUUGACGGGUAGCCGGCCUGAGAGGGUGACCGGCCACAUUGGGACUGAGAUACGGCCCAGACUCCUACGGGAGGCAGCAGUGGGGAAUAUUGCACAAUGGGCGGAAGCCUGAUGCAGCAACGCCGCGUGCGGGAUGACGGCCUUCGGGUUGUAAACCGCUUUCGCCUGUGACGAAGCGUGAGUGACGGUAAUGGGUAAAGAAGCACCGGCUAACUACGUGCCAGCAGCCGCGGUGAUACGUAGGGUGCGAGCGUUGUCCGGAUUUAUUGGGCGUAAAGGGCUCGUAGGUGGUUGAUCGCGUCGGAAGUGUAAUCUUGGGGCUUAACCCUGAGCGUGCUUUCGAUACGGGUUGACUUGAGGAAGGUAGGGGAGAAUGGAAUUCCUGGUGGAGCGGUGGAAUGCGCAGAUAUCAGGAGGAACACCAGUGGCGAAGGCGGUUCUCUGGGCCUUUCCUGACGCUGAGGAGCGAAAGCGUGGGGAGCGAACAGGCUUAGAUACCCUGGUAGUCCACGCUGUAAACGGUGGGUACUAGGUGUGGGGUCCAUUCCACGGGUUCCGUGCCGUAGCUAACGCUUUAAGUACCCCGCCUGGGGAGUACGGCCGCAAGGCUAAAACUCAAAGGAAUUGACGGGGCCCCGCACAAGCGGCGGAGCAUGCGGAUUAAUUCGAUGCAACGCGUAGAACCUUACCUGGGUUUGACAUGGAUCGGGAGUGCUCAGAGAUGGGUGUGCCUCUUUUGGGGUCGGUUCACAGGUGGUGCAUGGCUGUCGUCAGCUCGUGUCGUGAGAUGUUGGGUUAAGUCCCGCAACGAGCGCAACCCUUGUUCACUGUUGCCAGCACGUUAUGGUGGGGACUCAGUGGAGACCGCCGGGGUCAACUCGGAGGAAGGUGGGGAUGACGUCAAGUCAUCAUGCCCCUUAUGUCCAGGGCUUCACGCAUGCUACAAUGGCUGGUACAGAGAGUGGCGAGCCUGUGAGGGUGAGCGAAUCUCGGAAAGCCGGUCUCAGUUCGGAUUGGGGUCUGCAACUCGACCUCAUGAAGUCGGAGUCGCUAGUAAUCGCAGAUCAGCAACGCUGCGGUGAAUACGUUCCCGGGGCUUGUACACACCGCCCGUCAAGUCAUGAAAGUUGGUAACACCCGAAGCCGGUGGCCUAACCGUUGUGGGGGAGCCGUCGAAGGUGGGACUGGU
rnacentral:rRNA from 1 species